UAGGGAAUCUUCGGCAAUGGACGAAAGUCUGACCGAGCAACGCCGCGUGAGUGAUGAAGGUUCUCGGAUCGUAAAACUCUGUUGUUAGAGAAGAACAAGGACGUUAGUAACUGAACGUCCCCUGACGGUAUCUAACCAGAAAGCCACGGCUAACUACGUGCCAGCAGCCGCGGUAAUACGUAGGCGGCAAGCGUUGUCCGGAUUUAUUGGGCGUAAAGCGAGCGCAGGCGGUUUCUUAAGUCUGAUGUGAAAGCCCCCGGCUCAACCGGGGAGGGUCAUUGGAAACUGGGAGACUUGAGUGCAGAAGAGGAGAGUGGAAUUCCAUGUGUAGCGGUGAAAUGCGUAGAUAUAUGGAGGAACACCAGUGGCGAAGGCGGCUCUCUGGUCUGUAACUGACGCUGAGGCUCGAAAGCGUGGGGAGCAAACAGG
rnacentral:rRNA from 1 species